rnacentral:tRNA from 1 species
GUCAGGAUGCCGAGCGUUCUAAAGCGCUGCGUUCAUGUCGCAGUGCACUUCUGUGGGCGUGGGUUCGAAUCCCACUUCUGACA